UUUCAGAAGUCAAAGAAAGGUUCAAGUAGAACUAUUGAGAUCUCGCCACCCUCUGUUCCGGCCUUUCCAGUAAUCCAUCCAAGGCAGCAACUCAGUUACACUGAGCCACCUGCAUAUAACACAAACAGCCUACCAGUAUCAACAAAGCCAU